rnacentral:rRNA from 1 species
UACAGAGGAUGCAAGCGUUAUCUGGAAUGAUUGGGCGUAAAGCGUCUGUAGGUGGCUUUUUAAGUCCGCAGUCAAAUCCCAGGGCUCAACUCUGGGCAGGCGGUGGAAACUACUAAGCUGGAGUACGGUAGGGGCAGAGGGAAUUUCCGGUGGAGCGGUGAAAUACGUAGAGAUCGGAAAGAACACCAACGGCGAAAGCACUCUGCUGGGCUGACACUAACACUGAGAGACGAAAGCUAGGGGAGCGAAUGAG